GUUCCUUGAUACUCUAAGGUACUAACUUACCCGUAAAAGUUAGAGGUUCUUAAGAGUGCCCUUGAUACUUUAAGGUGUGAGUCUACCCGUAAAAGACUGGUUCCUAAGCGAAGUAGCCUUAAAACUUAGAGAGGUUUUUAAGAGUUCCUUGAUACUCUAAGGUACUAACUUACCCGUAAAAGUUAGAGGUUCUUAAGAGUGCCCUUGAUACUCUAAGGUGUGAGUCUACCCGUAAAAGACUGGUUCCUAAGCGAAGUAGCCUUAAAGCUUAGAAAGGUUUUGCCAUUACCUUUAGGCGAGUGAAUUUCGGCAGUUGGUCGGGACUGGACUAGCCCUUGUUUGGGUGAACCAGUAUAAAUCUCUUGUGUUGUUCUCUGUUAAUUAUAGUUCUAUCUUUUACUUAAAAACAACACUUAAUUAAAAAGAUCCCUCUUCCAGUUAUCUGGUCAAACACAGAGGUUGACUACUUUACGCAGAUCCCUCAUCCAGUUAUCUGGUCAACUAUCUGAGGUUAUAUUCAUUGCUUUAAAUCCUUAUAUUUGUUCAAGUAUUACUUAUCAUAUUUAUCCAGUUAUCUGGUCACUUACUUGUUUAUCAACUUAUCCAGUUAUCUGGUCAAUUACUUGUUUGUCAAUAUAUCCAGUUAUCUGGUCAUUUACUUGCUUAUCAAUAUAUCCAGUUAUCUGGUCAUUUACUCUACAAUACAAUUUGUGUUUCCAAUAUAACUUAGUAUUCAUAUACUAUAGUUGUGUGUGAAACACUAUCAAGCAAGUUGACUCAGUAUUCAUAUACUGUAGUAAGCUUCGAAGAGUAAUACUUACAUUAUUAUAUCAAUUAAAAUAAUAAUAUCCUUAUAUCAUUACUGUUCAACCAUUUGUUUAUUAAGCAUUUACAGGUAAUUCCGCUAUCAACCUGUAUA
rnacentral:lncRNA from 1 species